GAAGAAGUUAAGUUGAGCAAAAGACAAUAAAUAGUUUAACAAACAAUGAAAGCCCAUGGAUGUAUCCAAGAAAAGAUAAUUUGCACCAUAAAAUUUUUACAAAAAAUUCUACCAUUCACAUUACAGUACUUUAAAAAAUUGUUUUAAUUUAAUAUGCAAAAGUUAAUCAUAUCAUGAAAAGAACUAAAUGGGCUGUCACCCUACUUCACUUUGAGGUUGCAAUUCAAAGUCCACAAAAAAACUAUUAUCGAGAAUAUCUACAAAAGCAAAAUAACCACACAAAAAUACUCAUCAUUCAAAAUGAAGCAUUUAGAAUCAUUUCUCUAUAUAUUUUUCCAAUUAUGUUAACAAAAUAAAAAAUAACUAAAUUUGACCCAUGGCAUCCUACAUCACUAUAUCAUUAUAUGUCUAACUCCAUAAGAAGAUAAGAAACGAGUAUUAAACUCAAUCUGCACAUUUUCCAAAUAGACACUAUUAAUUGCACGAGAAGUGGUCUAGCACCACAAUUCAUACAUUCAUAAUGUAGAAGCAACAAAUUCCCAAUACCAGACAGUUCCUGCAAGUAACAUAUGUAUUAACUAAGCAUUUUCCCCUUUACCAUUGAAAUGUAUAGACCGUCUAUCAUUAAUAUCCUUUCCCAAGAAACUUCCAUGCAAGAAAGGACACUUUAAUGCACUUUUGACCACUAAAGGAUUCUUACCUAGCUCAUCUCUCCUUUCAAAAGCUUUUCAAUAAGAUGAUAUUACAUAUAACUCUCUUUUUCUUGUUGACACGCCUUAAUUCUUGUCCUCCUCACAUGCAUUAAAGACUCUCAAGCAACUCAUCAAAUUCACGAGUCACUCCAUCCCACAAAAUUCAGAUUCUCUUACAAAACACAGGAUUGUUGUGUUUGACCUCCAUGAGUCAAAACAAUUGCUAAGGACACAAUCUCCAUUUCAAACUAAAAAAUUAGCAUUCUGAAUGAUUUUGAGGGAAGAAUUUCAAGACUAAGAACUACACCAAAU
rnacentral:misc_RNA from 1 species